GGAAGGGGUGUAUUUAUUAGAUUAAAAACCAAUGCCCUUCGGGGCUCUCUGGUGAUUCAUAAUAACUUCUCGAAUCGCACGGCCUUGCGCCGGCGAUGGUUCAUUCAAAUUUCUGCCCUAUCAACUUUCGACGGCUGGGUCUUGGCCAGCCGUGGUGACAACGGGUAACGGAGGGUUAGGGCUCGACCCCGGAGAAGGAGCCUGAGAAACGGCUACUACAUCCAAGGAAGGCAGCAGGCGCGCAAAUUACCCAAUCCCGACACGGGGAGGUAGUGACAAUAAAUACUGAUACAGGGCUCUUUCGGGUCUUGUAAUUGGAAUGAGUACAAUUUAAAUCCCUUAACGAGGAACAAUUGGAGGGCAAGUCUGGUGCCAGCAGCCGCGGUAAUUCCAGCUCCAAUAGCGUAUAUUAAAGUUGUUGCCGUUAAAAGGCUCGUAGUUGAACCUUGGACCUGGCUGAUCUGUCCUCCUAAUCGAGCGCACGGAUUCGGUCGGGUCUUUCCUUCUGGGGAGCCCUAUGCCCUUCACUGGGUGUAGUGGGGAACCAGGACUUUUAC
rnacentral:rRNA from 1 species